GGACGGGUGAGUAACGCGUGAGGAACCUGCCUUUCAGAGGGGGACAACAGUUGGAAACGACUGCUAAUACCGCAUGACACAUAGAUGUCGCAUGGCAUUUAUGUCAAAGAUUUAUCGCUGAAAGAUGGCCUCGCGUCUGAUUAGCUAGUUGGUGAGGUAACGGCCCACCAAGGCGACGAUCAGUAGCCGGACUGAGAGGUUGAACGGCCACAUUGGGACUGAGAUACGGCCCAGACUCCUACGGGAGGCAGCAGUGGGGAAUAUUGGGCAAUGGGCGCAAGCCUGACCCAGCAACGCCGCGUGAAGGAAGAAGGCUUUCGGGUUGUAAACUUCUUUUGUCAGGGACGAGUAGAAGACGGUACCUGACGAAUAAGCCACGGCUAACUACGUGCCAGCAGCCGCGGUAAUACGUAGGUGGCAAGCGUUGUCCGGAUUUACUGGGUGUAAAGGGCGUGUAGCC
rnacentral:rRNA from 1 species